UACGUAGGGGCGAGCGUUGUCCGGAUUAUUGGGCGUAAGAGCGUGUAGGCGCCAGGUAGGUCUGCUGUGAAACUCGAGGCUCAACCUCGAGACGUCGGCGGAAACCAUCUGGCUAGAGUCCGGAAGAGGAGAGUGGAAUUCCUGGUGUAGCGGUGAAAUGCGCAGAUAUCAGGAAGAACACCCGUGGCGAAGGCGGCUCUCUGGGACGGUACUGACGCGAGACGCGAAAGCGUGGGGAGCGAACAGG
rnacentral:rRNA from 1 species